AGCUCCAGUGGCGUGAAGCAGCAGUGUCCUUUGAAGUAGAAGCCACAGCAAACAGCUGAGUGUCUCAGUCUUAAUUUGGCAAGCAGUUAUAGGUUAUGAACCAUCUUGAUGUAAAAAACUGGGGCUCUACUGUAUAUCAAGGAUCAAGGUAUCUUUCUGAAUCUAGAGAUGGAGGAGAUGCACAGGAAAUGAACAGGAGAUAAAGGAAACAAUUCAGCUGAACUUUUUUACACCUCUGCUCUGCCUAAACAACUCCCAGAUGGAGAGAAUAGCAGGAAAGCCGCUUCAAGCAAUCAGCAAGUGGACAAGGCAGCAGGAGACAGAACUACUUACUGAACUAACAGAAAUGAAUGGCACCUGCUGGAAUUCUGCAUACUUUACCCUCCACCUGGGAUCUGCUGCAAGGGGUAGAUCCAGAGGAUUGACAGUUGCCAAAUGAAAUAAUGGAAAGAAGAUUGCAUCUCUCUAGAUGGUGAAAGAUGACAAAAAACAAGACGUCCAUCAAGCUGUUAAAUUUGUAUUCAAUAUACCACCAAGAUUCUCUAUGUUUUCAAGGAGAAGGAUAACCUGAGCUAUUUACACAACUGGAAGGCUAUUAGAGGAUAUUUUUCUGAUGUGCAUGCAAGAAGAAAUGGCAACAUCUAAAUAAACUUUGGUACUCUUAUGCUAGAAA